GAUGAAGAACGCAGCGAAAUGCGAUAAGUAAUGUGAAUUGCAGAAUUCAGUGAAUCAUCGAAUCUUUGAACGCACAUUGCGCCCGUCAGUAUUCUGGCGGGCAUGCCUGUUCGAGCGUCAUUACGCCCCUCAAGUCCCCUGUGGACUUGGUGUUGGGGAUCGGCGAGGCUGGUUUUCCAGCACAGCCGUCCCUUAAAUUAAUUGGCGGUCUCGCCGUGGCCCUCCUCUGCGCAGUAGUAAAACACUCGCAACAGGAGCCCGGCGCGGUCCACUGCCGUAAAACCCCCCAACUUUUUAUAGUUGACCUCGAAUCAGGUAGGACUACCCGCUGAACUUAAGCAUAUCAAUAAGCGGGGGA
rnacentral:misc_RNA from 1 species